UUUACCUUCAACUUUCUUUUGUCCUUUUUAUAAAAGGUACAUCCUUUAAAAAUAGAAUAUGGUUAAUUAGCUUGUUUUAAUGAAUUUGAAAAUGCCUCUCAACAGAUGAGCUAACUUAAGCACGUUUAUGUUGACUGUCUCCCCUGAAUAUCUGCUAUGUUGCUUUGUGUUUUCUCUUCACCGUGAUAUCUUGGUUUCUUCUCUCCACGUUCUUGGAUUUUGUUAGAUGCAUCAUGUUUUCUUUUUUCUACCUGCUUUUGUUUUGCAUUUCCUAAACUGAAAAUGAUCCUUCUAUUUUUAUUUGUUUAAUGUUUCCUUUGUCACUUUAGCAGAAAUGUUCAAACUUAUACUUUUUAAAACAAUGAUUUAAAUUAAUUGAGCAUCUAUAUAUACACCCUAAAAGACAUAAACUAAGAUGUGUUUGCAUCCUUUAACUUCCAAUUCUGUCCUCCACCCCCACCUCAGGCACCUCUUCCCUUCCUCCCCACACACAUGUGUGUUAAAUGUUUGUUUUUUAAUGUUUUAAUAAUCAAUACCUAUUUAAACUUUACAGUAACACUGAGUAAUUAACUUACCACUACUUCUUGAAUUUCAAUAAUUCCUCCUGGCUUCAUUUUUCUACUUUCUCUGAUAUCUUCUUUGGUAAUUCUUUUACAAAAUACCUCUCAGGGACCCAUAUGGUGAGCCUUUAUAGAUCUGAAAUCCCCUUAUAUUAGUCCCACUUUUGAAUCAUAGUUUAUCUUUCUAUAGAAUUCUGUGACAUGAGGUGGCUUGGAAGCUGGUCUCUGGGCACAGUCUGCUAUGAGCCCUGCCAGACCUCUCGAACAAAUGCGUUCUCACAGACGUUUCCAUUGGAGGUGAUUACGUUUAAGACAGCUUUUCAGUAUGAGCUCUUGAAGACGGGUGUGUCAGUCCCUUUCCGGCUGCUGGAACAACGUUAUCACAACGUUCACUCCCCACAGUUCUAGAGAAGCCGAGACGUGUGAGGUCAUGGUGCCAGCAAAUUCAGUGUCGGGAAAGAUGGAAGAGGAAGACUCUACAGAAAGAAGAUAUUUAUGGAAACCAUCAAGAGAAUGGGGAAUGUAAUUACCACUGGUGUACAGUGGAAAUAACUUUCCUUGCUUCUUUAUUCAUUCAUUUGAUGUGAAAUCAAACAUAGAUUGCCUUUUCUCUUCAGUGGGAGCCCAGAAGUUCUACAUAGAAGGUGUUUAGGAACAGCAAUGUGACUGAAAUGAGGAGCUGGGAGACUCAUAUUGAUACUAUCUUCACACAACAAGUCAUCUUUCUUUUGUAAAAAAUAAAGCUACUGUUUCUUUUGUAUUAUUCUGUAUUCAUUUAUUUAUAGCUUGAUUUUACUUGACUAGUUUUUGGAUUUGUAGGAAAGUAAAAUUACCCUUGAGUUUCUUCCUGUGUAAAGGGUGUUUUGAAGAUACAAUUUGGCAACGGAUCAUCCACCAUAGAGUAGAAUACAGAAAAUAAUGUUGCCUGCCAUUCCAGUACUCCAAAGAUUGGGCCCUUCACCACUGCAAUUGCCCAAUGAAGUUAUACCUACCCUGAGGGGAAUUCAGGGUGGAGAAAACCAGGAAGCAUUCCAUGCCUAGGAUAUUGGCCCUAGAUGGUUUAGAUGCAUGUUUAGACAUUAAUAUAAACAAUUUCAGUGGCCCCCAAUUUUUGCAUCUUCCCGUGAGCAGAUAGAAAAGCACUGAAACCGUUAACGUGUAUGUGUGUGUGCUGAAUGUGCUCAGGCGCUCAGUCAUGUCUGAUGCUUUGU